rnacentral:lncRNA from 1 species
GGCAUUAUUGUUUUUGUACUCUCCCUCCAUGUGCUCCUAGGUUUCUGUUCUUGGUGUGUUUUUGCAGUUCGUGGGCGGUCAAAAGACUAUGAAUUUUUCUCAUAUAAGUCUUUUUUUUGACAAUUGGAAUACGAUGCGGUUCUCUUUAUAGGUCUACUGUGUUGGUGUUUGGUUGGGUUUUUUCUGUUCUUGUAAAGGUCUUUUGUGGUCUAGUUGGACUCUCUUGUUAGUCUUUAUCAUGUAUGGUUCUCUUUCGUACACUGGGGUUUGUCCCAAAUGGCUUUCCUAGGACGGUUUUAAUGAGGCUAUAGUAUUCGUGCUAGUCUUUGUAUACCAUUUUGGAUUAUGAAUGAAAUCUUCUUUUCAUAAAAUUGCCUGGUCAAAUGAAGUCGGUUCAAG